rnacentral:tRNA from 1 species
AGGGUAAUAGUUAAAUAUAACAUUUGAUUUGCAUUCAAAAAGUGUUGAUUAAAUCAACUUACCUU